CGAAUUUUAGUGAACUCGUGGUCGGUGUCACCCGCACCUUCUCUCUCUCUGUAACUACCCAGCUUGGUCCGCGCCCUGCUCCGCUCAACGACCAGUCGAAGGCCCCAGGACUGCUCUCUGCGUAGGUGACCUGUGGCGCGGGCCGGCCGGGCGGGGCCUUUCCCCUUUUCGUCCUUGGCCGACUGAGUGUAAUUUUUCAAUGCUGGAUGGAACAUGGGAGACUCUCUGUUAACCCUGUCAUUUCACAAGCAUGGAAACAGAUCGCAAGAAGUCAGUAGCCGCCGCUGUGAUCAUUAAGUGCUUACUAGAACCAGGCUCUUUGAUUUUCGAUUGUUCUUUAAUUUUCACAAAAAUUUUGCAAGAAAUGUCUACAGUGCUUUCUUCACAACCCUUUUGAAGGAUAAAACUUAACUUCAGAGUUGUUUUGAACCAUGGGAAGCUACUAGAAAAAAAAUCUUAUGGUGAAGUUGCUGUUUAGUUCCAUUUUAGCCCAAUAAAAAGUACAGAAACACUGUCUUUAUUUGAUGGUGUGCAUAAAUAUUACACUCCAUGGAUAGCAAAAAUAUUUUUUAUUUAUAAUUUACAAUUUCACAAGUGAAAAUCGUACAUUUUUUACACAUACAAUUUCAUUUUGUUAAAUUUGCACACAUCUACAGAAUUUUCACACAACAAGCACCUGAAACUGUGCAGGCAGUAGGAAAUGCAAAUACUAAAAUGUAUUUAUUAACCAAAUGAUAGCUAAAGGCCCUGCCUCAGCUAGACAAUUUAUAUAGAUAAUAGGUCUAUAUAUACAUAAAAAAUUCUUCACCUUUUACAUCCAACAGCAGCUUUUGUAAAAAAGAAAAACACACCUUUCUCAUUUUAUUUAAACUGACUCGACUGUAUCAUUUUCUGUUUUAAUUUCAGUUGGUGUGGCUACACUUUCUUCUGCACAAGCUGGUGGAGUAGUAUCGACUUGUUCUUCCUUAACUUUGGGACUUUCACAAGGCUCCUGCAAUUCAUUUUUGACAAUGUUCAACAUAAUGUUCAAGGGAUUUUCAGCUGGUGUCUUGCUGGGAGAUGGUGUACAAUCAAAUGAAGAUGUCUACAAAAUGAAAAAAAGUCAGCACCACGAAGGUUCAAAAUUAUCACACUAAAUGACAUCGAGUUUUAAAAAGACGAUGUCUGGGAGGAAAGGAACGUACAUACACCAACUGAGUUAAAUGCCUUGCCACGUCUACGUAAAAAUUAAUUCAUAUUUCAUUAAUUGUGUCACACAAACUCAACAAUGAGCCCAUCUAAAUUAAAUGAGGAGGCCAAAAGAAGCUGCUAUGACAUGCUUCCAUUUAACCACUACAAAUAGUGAUCCCUACAUAGGAGAGAGCUUCAAAGAGCUCGUGGGAAAAUUCCAUGUAUUUCACCAACAUUUUGAAGCCACUUGGGGCUUUUGUGAUGCCUCAUUUCAAAUAUUCAAGAUUUUCCUAUCCUUAUAAACCAAAAUAUCCUAGAAAUUCUAGCCUCUUAAUAACAAAUCUAUCUUCUAAACUGCCUUUUAAAUGCAUGAAGCAAAUACUCUGGGAGUUAAUGUGUCCCAUUUACCUCUCAAUAACUAAGAUGUAAAUCAAUAUUUAAUGUCACUUAUUUAAGUGCCACCUAAAAUCAAAGACUAUAAAAUAUAAAUACUAUAAAGAUUAAUAACUAUUGUGGGGGGGAAAGACAUUACUGACUGAAAAAUUCGUAACAGUAAAAUUUACUAACGUAAAUGAGAACAGUAAUCAAAAAGAAACUUACAUUUUGAUAAUCUUCAUAACAUGAUGGAUGAUAAAUCUGAAGGGAAAAUAAUUGAAGAGGUAAUUCACAAAAUCUUGCUAAUGUUGGGGAGGAGGGGAGUUGUCACCCCUACAUGUAAGAGUUUCACUUUAAAUUUGGUUUCUACAUUUAAGUAGACUAAAAUGGAUUGCUGAUAAGAACCAUUUGGAUGAUGAAAUGUAAAUUCAGAAUCAAUAUAGUAUGCUUAAAAAGAGUACCACACUUAGAAAACCAAGACCUAGAUCUGUUACCUAAUUUACAAAAUGAGUACAAAACCAGAUAUUCCUUCCAACUUCAGCAUCUAUGACUAAAUUCCAAUACCUUAGAAAUACAUUUUUCACUAAGGCCAAAAAACCAAGAAAUAUGUUUAUUUUAAAUGGUGAACUAAUUCUAUAAAAGAAUGCUAAUCUUAAUACUUCCUACAUAAAAGAACUUAAACUUACCUUUCCAUCUACUCUAAUAGCAUUUUUUAAGUGCCAUUCCUCCUCCUCUUCAUCCCAGUACUGUUCAAAUUGUUCUUGGCAGAUUUCACAACUCUAAAAUAGAAUCAAAUAUAAUAGGGAAUUUAAUUCCAUUAAACAGAAGAUGGUGUUACAUGGGGAAAGGAAUUUGGAUUUUAUGAAAGUUUUUAAAUAGGUUUAGUAUAUAAUACAUAUACAAAAGAAAGGAUUCUGUAAUCUUCCAGGCAAAAGAGAACAUUUCACUGGUGUUGAUCACUGAUACAAUGUAACUGUAGCAUUUAUGAAACCCAAGCCUAGAUCAUUUAAAGAGUAAACCUUACAAAUUAUAAAUUAAAAGAGGAAUGUAAAUGAAA